ACCAUCCUCUGCUUGAAUGUAGUGGAGCUGAGCAGGCUGGCUUGAAGCAUGAUGCUGAAACCAGAUCAUGGCUGCGAGGAGAGGGGGCAGCUGAGGAGUGCCUGAAUGUGAGGAGACAGCUCGGGGCAGGAGUGCUGUGGGAGCCCAUCCUUAACAGCUGUGACAGCUCUGAAAUGAGAUGUUGACUCACUUAAAAGAAGAGCGAGGAGGACGUUUGCAGUAUUGCUCCUAUCAGCCCAGGGGAGCUCACAAGACUCACCCAGUGGAAAUUGCUGCUGUCUGCCUGUCAGAGGACAUGCCCCAAAGUGGCAAGAUCAUUUGGAUGCUCCUCUGCCCCAAGCUGCUGCAGUUGAGAGCUUCCUAGCUAUAGUUCCGGCCCUGCCUGAUCUCAAUUAACUUCUCUCUGGCCACGCUGCAGUUCAAGACAGUAUGAUUCAUGCUUAAGUCAAGGAGUUAUUCAAUAAAAGGUAAAAAUGUGUUAAGACUUUCGUUGGCUUUGUGUAUGUCAAGGCCAGCCCCACACCAGCUAAGCAGCCUAGAUUCUAUAGAGGUAGCAUUUGCCUAAGGUGGAUUGAUGUUUAAACUUCUGCUUUGCCUUUCCAUGCAUUUAAAUAAUACCACCCUAAAGCAGCAAAAAAUAGAGUUUGUAUUUUCUCCUCCUUUUAAAUUCAAGAGAUCUUAAUAAUAACAUCUCUGCUUGUCCUGUG
ensembl:lncRNA